AUUCGUUUUAAGCGAUGGGGGGACGCAGUAGGAUAGGCGAAGCGUGCUGUUGGAGUGCACGUCCAAGCAGUGAGAUUGAGUGUUAGGCAAAUCCGGCACUCUUAAGAUUGAGCUGUGAUGGGGAGAGGAACUUGUUCCUCGAGUCGUUGAUUUCACACUGCCGAGAAAAGCCUCUAGCUAGAAUAACGGUGCCCGUACCGCAAACCGACACAGGUAGUCAAGAUGAGAAUUCUAAGGUGAGCGAGCGAACUCUCGUUAAGGAACUCGGCAAAAUGACCCCGUAACUUCGGGAGAAGGGGUGCUCUUUGAGGUUCACGCUUCGAAGAGCCGCAGUGAAUAGGCCCAAGCGACUGUUUAUCAAAAACACAGGUCUCUGCUAAACCGUAAGGUGACGUAUAGGGGCUGACGCCUGCCCGGUGCUGGAAGGUUAAGAGGAGUGGUUAGCGCAAGCGAAGCUACGAAUCGAAGCCCCAGUAAACGGCGGCCGUAACUAUAACGGUCCUAAGGUAGCGAAAUUCCUUGUCGGGUAAGUUCCGACCCGCACGAAAGGCGUAACGAUUUGGGCACUGUCUCAACGAGAGACUCGGUGAAAUCAUAGUACCGGUGAAGAUGCCGGUUACCCGCGACAGGACGGAAAGACCCCGUGGAGCUUUACUGUAGCCUGAUAUUGAAAUUCGGUACAGUUUGUACAGGAUAGGUAGGAGCCUUAGAAGCGUGAGCGCUAGCUUACGUGGAGGCAUUGGUGGGAUACUACCCUAAUUGUAUUGGAUUUCUAACCCGCAGCACUUAUCGUGCUGGGAGACAGUGUCAGGCGGGCAGUUUGACUGGGGCGGUCGCCUCCUAAAGAGUAACGGAGGCGCUCAAAGGUUCCCUCAGAAUGGUUGGAAAUCAUUCAUAGAGUGUAAAGGCAUAAGGGAGCUUGACUGCGAGACCUACAAGUCGAGCAGGGUCGAAAGACGGACUUAGUGAUCCGGUGGUUCCGCAUGGAAGGGCCAUCGCUCAACGGAUAAAAGCUACCCCGGGGAUAACAGGCUUAUCUCCCCCAAGAGUUCACAUCGACGGGGAGGUUUGGCACCUCGAUGUCGGCUCAUCGCAUCCUGGGGCUGUAGUCGGUCCCAAGGGUUGGGCUGUUCGCCCAUUAAAGCGGUACGCGAGCUGGGUUCAGAACGUCGUGAGACAGUUCGGUCCCUAUCCGUCGUGGGCGUAGGAAAUUUGAGAGGAGCUGUCCUUAGUACGAGAGGACCGGGAUGGACAUACCUCUGGUGUACCAGUUGUCGUGCCAACGGCAUAGCUGGGUAGCUAUGUAUGGACGGGAUAAGUGCUGAAAGCAUCUAAGCAUGAAGCCCCCCUCGAGAUGAGAUUUCCCAACUUCGGUUAUAAG
rnacentral:rRNA from 1 species